rnacentral:rRNA from 1 species
GCGAACAGCUAUAUCACCCUGCAGCUCUCAGCUGGCUACUGAAGCUAAACAGAGUUGAGCCUGGUCAGUACCUGGAUGGGAGACAUCCUGGGAAAAACCAAGGUUGCUGCUGGAA